UGGGAACGCGCCCACGCCGCAGCUGGGACUCGGGAGAGGCUAGGGGGACCGCGUGGCCUUGCUGUGGAAGGGACCCGCGCGGGCCCGCCGCGAAGGGGGCCCUGCCUGGCGCGACCUGGGGAGAGCCGGGGCCGGCCGGGUGGAGGGCGCACGGGGACACACGGACACGCACAGACACAGACACGCGCCCCGGGCUGAGGAGGGUGGUGGGAGGACCGCCGGCCGCCCCCCGCGCGGAGCCCCAGGGAACCCGGACUCCAGCCGCAAAGCGGAGAGGCGCCAGCAGCAAUCAGCCACCUCAGGGGCGGCGGAGUCCAAGCCCCUCUCAGCCGGACCGUACCGCCUAAACCCUCCUCGGGUCCUCCUUCCUCACGUAUGAGGUCUCUGUACCGAGGCGGCUGGUUCCAUCGCAGCCCCGAGCCAACCCGCCAAUCCCGCAGGACACUAACCGCUCCGGCCGCCGCAGGUUCUCCCGGGACUGCCCCCUCCAGGGGGCCGCUGUCCCGCCCCACGCCGGGGGCCGCCACAGGACGAGUUCUCUAGCUCCAGCCGGGCGAGGCGCCAGGGAGCUCCGAACGUGGCAGGAUCCACUUUUACUUUUCCAGACAAGGGCCGACGGUUGUGACCUGGCUUCUCGUGAAGUGACUCCUGGCGACAGCAGCGGAGAGGACUACCGAAGCUUGCAGUCGCGGUUUGAAAACUGCAGCCGCGUCUGGGGCAUCGCCGUUCGCCAGAUCCCUCCCCCUAGAGAGGUCAGUUCGAGAGGUGUGAAUAUCCGGAGACCGGGGAGAAGGAAGCCGCAAAAUUCGUCCCAGCUGCCUGCGACUAGUUACCAAACUUCAGUGCCUACCAAAGACCUAUUUUCUGACUCUUCUUGAGAGUCUUCCUUAGGACCGGAACGUACCCUGUAAGUGGAGAACCCAGUUUGCUACAACUUGGCAGAGGUUCCUCGGAGUGUCAACAUCAGUUGGGGAUUUAUGGAACCUAGACCCCACUGCUAACGUCCGCUGUCGCGAAUGGUGUCCCUUCUGAGGCACUGACUGAAGGCAGUGUAGGGAGGGUCCCAAUAGGCUGAAUAGCCGAUUUUGCAUUUAUAGUGCUAAGGAAAAAGAUGAAAGCCCUCAGCAACCUACUCAAGAUCUGUUAUCCUUUGAAGACAGUGGAAAUUUUCAAAGUUCUGUGCAAGACACAAAUGUUUUACAUAGAUAUAUAAUCCUAGUUUAUAUGUAUAGGAUACACACAUACUCAUACAUAUAUGGGAUUAGUUAUGUAAUCUAGGAUUGCUUUCAGAGGACAUUUACGAUAAUUGCAGAAAACCCUUCCGUGGGAAAGGAUACUGGGAGUGGAGUCGUCCUCUUGCUUUCAAAAGACUUAAUGUUCAGUUAGCAUAUAAAGGACAGGUUUUCUUGUUCUAUCCCAGUAAGCCAAGCAAAUUCCUGUGAAGCUAGCUGUUUCCCUUUCCUACUGCAUUUUCCCCAAGAUAAAGGUAUAGAAUGCAUCACAGCCCUUUUAUGAAGUCUGUUUGUUGUUACUUAGGUUAACUCCUCCUCC
rnacentral:lncRNA from 10 species